AUUGAACGCUGGCGGCAGGCCUAACACAUGCAAGUCGAACGAGUGGCGGACGGGUGAGUAAUGUCUGGGAAACUGCCCGAUGGAGGGGGAUAACUACUGGAAACAGUAGCUAAUCCCGCAUACCAUCGGAUGUUCGCUGAUGGGAGUAUGUAGUAGGUGGGGUAACGGCUCACCUAGGCGACGAUCCCUAGCUGGUCUGAGAGGAUGACCAGCCACACUGGAACGGAGACACGGUCCAGACUCCUACGGGAGGCAGCAGUGGGGAAUAUUGCACAAUGGGCGCAAGCCUGAUGCAGCCAUGCCGCGUGUAUGAAGAAGGCCUUCGGGUUGUAAAGUACUGUCAUCGGGGAGGCGUUACUCGCAGAAGAAGCACCGGCUAACUCCGUGCCAGCAGCCGCGGUAAUAC
rnacentral:rRNA from 1 species